GAACCUUACCUACUCUUGACAUCCAGAGAACUUUCCAGAGAUGGAUUGGUGCCUUCGGGAACUCUGAGACAGGUGCUGCAUGGCUGUCGUCAGCUCGUGUUGUGAAAUGUUGGGUUAAGUCCCGCAACGAGCGCAACCCUUAUCCUUUGUUGCCAGCGGUUAGGCCGGGAACUCAAAGGAGACUGCCAGUGAUAAACUGGAGGAAGGUGGGGAUGACGUCAAGUCAUCAUGGCCCUUACGAGUAGGGCUACACACGUGCUACAAUGGCGCAUACAAAGAGAAGCGACCUCGCGAGAGCAAGCGGACCUCAUAAUGUGCGUCGUAGUCCGGAUUGGAGUCUGCAACUCGACUCCAUGAAGUCGGAAUCGCUAGUAAUCGUAGAU
rnacentral:rRNA from 1 species